rnacentral:lncRNA from 1 species
ACCCGCGGUCCCGCAGCGGCGCGCGGCUGACGCUCCCUCAGCGAUCCGGCCCUCCGCGGCUCCUGCGCGACCCCACGCAAAAGCGCCCCGUGCGAAGAGCGCGGCCAGCCAGUCCGCAAAGGGCCUCGGGCAGUGCGGGCAGCACGAACGGCGCGAUCGGGGAGCAGGCGCGGCUACGCUCCGCCUCAGUGAUGUCGCCGGGAGGAUCUCCGCGCGGCUACCUCCUCUUCCGCCGCCUUCCUCCCACGCCUUCACCUCCCUCCCCCGCCGCGCUCUGCGGCGAAAAGGAGCGGGCUCCCAGGCCACCUCCCCUCUCUCCACCCAGGGGCCGCGCGUCAGUGGACCUGCAGCCCAGGCAACGGGGCUGCGGACGGCGCGCGUGCCCUGCCUCGCCUCACGCCGGUAGCUGAUGCUCCCGCGGCAGCUGCCACCCCAGCGCCCCAGCCACGGCUUCAGAGGCUCUCGCACGCUGGCUUUUUUUUUUUCCCCCCGCUUUGGUGAACUCGCAGUACUUGGGCUGAGCCCGAAAUCUCGCGAGAUGCUGCAGGCGUCAGUGCGGCUUCCCACUAGGCGCGUGGUACCCGAGGCCGGGCCGGAGCCGCAGGCCAGCCGCGAUUCCUUCGGGCGAUGCUGGGGGCUUUCCGGUCGGGGCCGCAGCCGCUUCCGGAGCCGCGGGCGAGGUGCGUUCCCCAGCCUGGUUUGCUCUGGGCUCUGACCCGCCGCCGCGAAUCUCCGCUCGUAACUCCGGGCCUGAACCUGGAGGAGGGAGGAUUUCCUCUGUGCAGCUUUCGAGCGGUAGACUCACCCUGCCAGGCAGACCUAGAUUGGCAUAACCAGAGAUCAGUUCCAGUUGUGAUGCAGUGGGUGUCUACACACUUCUGAUGACACCUUUAUUUUAAAAGCUGAUGUUCCAAGAGUCGGGGUUUCACCGUGUUAGCCAGGAUGGUCUCGAUCUCCUGACCUCGUGAUCCGCCCACCUCCGCCUCUCCAAGUGCUGGGAUUACAGGCAUGAGCCACCGCGCCCGGCCCUUGUAUUUUUAAACUUUGACUUUAUGGAGACGAACACCAUCGUUUGCUGAACACUUGAAACAUGAUGAAAGAGCCACAGAGUUGGCAGAACUGUUUGAAAAUGCUGUGCAAGCGGUCUUCUCUGUCUUCUUUAUGGCCAGUAAAAUUCUCCAGAAGAGAUUUAUGGCAGCCUCACUCCCAGUAGUUUCUGCAUUUAGUGAGAUAAGAUGGAAUCUUGCUCUCUUGCUCAGACUGGAGUGCAGUGGCAUGACCUUGGCUCACUGCAACCUCACCUCUCGGGUUCAAGCGAUUCUGCCUCAGCCUCUCGAGUAGCUGGGACUACAGGUGGGAGACCUCCACAGAACCCUUCCAGCAAGCUGUCUUCUAAAGCAAACAAGAAAAGGAAAGUCUGAGCAGUUUUGAUUAGAUUUCCCAGAAGUCAAAGCAAGGAAAAAUGAAAAAGCUUCAUUUCUCACGUUCUUAAAAGAGAGCACAGAUGUUGCAUCAUCUGGUUAGAUACCCUGAGAAUAAAAUCUGGAUCCAGUGAGAGGAAAGAUUCUGGGUGCUCAUGAAAAAAGAAACAAAACAAAACUUGGGAGCCUCUUGAGAGUGUACAGCAUCAGCCCUUGCCAACUCUUGUUUAUAUGCAUUUAACUUUCAGUUAACCAUGGGAAUAAUUCAUGAAAAUCCAAUCUACAAACAAAGGCCAUCCUAACGUUCAUGUUAUUCUUUUCCCUAAGAAUCUUUCACAAGAGCUAUAAUCAAGUAGAAUUAUGCUUUGAUUUGAAUUCUAAUUCAAUUGAAAAUAAAAAAUGAGGGCCGGACGCGGUGGCUCAUGCCUGUAAUCCCAGCGCUUUGGGAGGCUGAGGUGGACGGAUCACGAGGUCAGGAGAUCGAGACCAUCCUGGCUAACACGGUGAAACCCGAUCCCUACUAAAAAUACAAAAAAUUAGCCGGGCGUGGUGGCAGGCGCCUGUAGUCCCAGCUACUCGGGAGGCUGAGGCAGGAGAAUGGCGUGAACCCAGGAGGCAGAGGUUGCAGUGAGCCGAGAUCAUGCUACUGCACUCCAGCCUGGGCGACAGAGCGAGACUCUGUGUAUAAAUAAAUAAAUAAAUAAAUAAAUAACGAAAAGGUUGCCAUUGCCCUUUCUGGGGAAAGUGAUAAUGAGGAAAGACUAGUUUCUUAACCCAAGUCAGCUUUAGAGUCGGCAAGGAUGCAAUUUGAGGUGAUCCAGGAAAACUCUAUUAGCAUGGUAUUUCCCAUACAGAUUCAUUUCUUUUAGGCCUGAAGUCUUUUUGGCACUUCUUAAUAAAAUCACAGAUACCUCUUGGACAUGAAAGCUUAUCCUUUAUCAAUUUCUAUCAGUUAACCACUCAGAUGAGGAUAAAGGCCUGAGUCAGAAAGGACAGAGAGAGGUUCCACAAAGAGAUAAAAGAUGAGUGGCCAUAAGGAGUCCUUGAAAACACACCUCUCUAGCCCAUCAAAAAAUGCAGCACCUUAAACUCAAGUCCAUCUUACUAGCCUUUAGCAGUACCCCACCACUCUCAAAAUUUCCAGCAUUAAAUGUCUCGGAGCUAUAUAAAAGGCAGACUUAGGUAUAAGUAGGAAGAGAUAUCAAGGGCUUGGGUAUCAUUUCAGCACUAAUGGAGCUUAUGG